CUCGCCAGCACCAGCACAGGCCAGAACGGGGCGCGCGAGCGGCCAUCGGAGGACCUCGGGGACCCACACACGGUCCCCUCCCCCGCCCGCCUCCCUCACCGCCUCCAGCGCCCUCCCCGCGGAGGUCCCCCCCCCAUCCCGCCUCCCUGCGUCCUCCGGGCCGCACCGCCCGGGCCGGCGCCGAGCGCGGGGAAGCUGGCGGGUUAGGGCGCCCCGCUCCUCUGCUAUUCCCUCCCCCGUCCCGGCUCCGCGAGGCCGCAGGUCGCCGCCCGCGAGAUGAUGCAGGACGUGUCCAGCUCGCCAGUCUCGCCGGCCGACGACAGCCUGAGCAACAGCGAGGAGGAGCCGGACCGGCAGCAGCCGGCGAGCGGCAAGCGGGGGGCUCGCAAGAGACGCAGCAGUCGGCGCAGCGCGGGCGGCAGCGCGGGGCCCGGCGGGGCCACGGGCGGGGGCAUCGGAGGCGGCGACGAGCCGGGCAGCCCGGCCCAGGGCAAGCGCGGCAAGAAAUCUGCGGGCGGAGGCGGCGGCGCGGGCGGAGGCGGCGGCGGCGGCGGCAGCAGCAGCGGGGGCGGGAGCCCGCAGUCGUACGAGGAGCUGCAGACACAGCGGGUCAUGGCCAACGUGCGGGAGCGCCAGCGCACCCAGUCGCUGAACGAGGCAUUUGCCGCCCUGCGCAAGAUCAUCCCCACGCUGCCCUCGGACAAGCUGAGCAAGAUUCAGACCCUCAAACUGGCGGCCAGGUACAUCGACUUCCUGUACCAGGUCCUGCAGAGCGACGAGCUGGACUCCAAGAUGGCAAGCUGCAGCUAUGUGGCCCACGAGCGGCUCAGCUACGCCUUCUCCGUCUGGAGGAUGGAGGGGGCCUGGUCCAUGUCCGCGUCCCACUAGCAGGCGGAGCUCCCCACCCCCUCGGCAGGCCGGAGACCUAGAUGUCAUUGUUUCCAGAGAAGGAGAACAUGGACAGUCUAGAGACUCUGGAGCUGGAUAACUAAAAAUAAAUCUAUAUGACAAAGAUUUUCUUGGAAAUUAGAAGAGCAGAGACCAAAUUUCACAAGAAUCAGGGCGUGGGGCACACUUUUAAAAGAGAAAGCGAGACAGGCCGGUGGACAGAGAUUCCCAGAGGCAACGGCAUCACCCUCACACCUCUGCAUUCUGAUAGAAGUCUGAACACUCGUUUGUGUGUCCCCCCCUUUUGACGAAGAAUGUUUUAUUUUUAUUUUUCAUGCAUGCAUUCUCAAGAGGUCUUGCCAAUCAGUCACUGAUAGGAAAGACAUCCUUGUGGACUUUCUCCAUUUUAAAAUGGUAACAAUCAGAGGAAUUUUAACAACGCCUUUAGAAAUAAAAACGCUGGGAUCAAACUGGCCUGCAAAAUCAUAAGUCAGUGAAUUCCUUAAAAAGCAUACUUCCUCUGAAGGAAAAGAAAAACACAGAAUACAAAAGACAACAUUCUAUUUAUUUAUUGAUGACCCAUGGUAAAAUGCAAAUAGAUCCGGUGUCUAAAUGCAUUCAUAUUUUUAUGACUGUUUUGUAAAUAUCUUUUGUAUAUUAUUUUUCUGCAAUAAAUAAAUAUGAUUGAAAAAUUUUAAGAACUUUAAA
rnacentral:lncRNA from 1 species